rnacentral:miRNA from 1 species
UGGAUAUGAAUGUAAGAACACA